UCCAAGGCGUUUCUCAACGCCAUCCUCCUCGUCAUAAAAUGAUAU
rfam:Perkinsus marinus ATCC 50983 gcontig_1104296563120, whole genome shotgun sequence.